GCCGCCGUAGCUCAGUUGGCAGAGCGACGCUUUCGUAAAGCGUAGGUCGUCCGUUCAAAUCGGAUCGGCGGCU
rnacentral:tRNA from 1 species